UGGGGAAUAUUGGACAAUGGGCGAAAGCCUGAUCCAGCCAUGCCGCGUGUGUGAAGAAGGUCUUCGGAUUGUAAAGCACUUUAAGUUGGGAGGAAGGGCAGUAAGCGAAUACCUUGCUGUUUUGACGUUACCGACAGAAUAAGCACCGGCUAACUCUGUGCCAGCAGCCGCGGUAAUACAGAGGGUGCAAGCGUUAAUCGGAAUUACUGGGCGUAAAGCGCGCGUAGGUGGUUCGUUAAGUUGAAUGUGAAAGCCCCGGGCUCAACCUGGGAACUGCAUCCAAAACUGGCGAGCUAGAGUAGGGCAGAGGGUGGUGGAAUUUCCUGUGUAGCGGUGAGAUGCGUAGAUAUAGGAAGGAACACCAGUGGCGAAGGCGACCACCUGGGCUCAUACUGACACUGAGGUGCGAAAGCGUGGGGAGCAAACAGG
rnacentral:rRNA from 1 species